UGGGGAAUAUUGGACAAUGGGCGGAAGCCUGAUCCAGCAACGCCGCGUGAGGGAUGACGGCCUUCGGGUUGUAAACCUCUUUCAGUACCGACGAAGCGGAAGUGACGGUAGGUACAGAAGAAGCACCGGCCAACUACGUGCCAGCAGCCGCGGUAAUACGUAGGGUGCGAGCGUUGUCCGGAAUUAUUGGGCGUAAAGGGCUCGUAGGCGGUUUGUCGCGUCGGGAGUGAAAACACUGGGCUUAACUCAGUGCUUGCUUCCGAUACGGGCAGACUAGAGGCAUGCAGGGGAGAACGGAAUUCCUGGUGUAGCGGUGAAAUGCGCAGAUAUCAGGAGGAACACCGGUGGCGAAGGCGGUUCUCUGGGCAUGUCCUGACGCUGAGGAGCGAAAGUGUGGGGAGCGAACAGGAUUAGAUACCCUGGUAGUCCACACCGUAAACGUUGGGCGCUAGGUGUGGGGCCUAUUCCAUGGGUUCCGUGCCGCAGCUAACGCAUUAAGCGCCCCGCCUGGGGAGUACGGCCGCAAGGCUAAAACUCAAAUGAAUUG
rnacentral:rRNA from 1 species